rnacentral:rRNA from 1 species
GAUGAACGCUGGCGGUAUGCUUAACACAUGCAAGUCGAACGGUCACUUCGGUGAUAGUGGCGGACGGGUGAGUAACGCGUGAGAAUCUGUCUUCAGGUCGGGGACAACAGUUAGAAAUGACUGCUAAUACCGGAUGUGCCUUUGGGUGAAAGAUUGAUUGCCUGAAAAAGAGCUCGCGUCAGAUUAGCUAGUAGGUGGUGUAAGAGACUACCUAGGCUCCGAUCUGUAGCUGGUCUGAGAGGACGAUCAGCCACACUGGAACUGAGACACGGUCCAGACUCCUACGGGAGGCAGCAGUGGGGAAUUUUCCGCAAUGGGCGAAAGCCUGACGGAGCAAUACCGCGUGAGGGACGAAGACUUUUGGGUCGUAAACCUCUUUUCUCAAGGAAGAUGAUGACGGUACUUGAGGAAUAAGCAUCGGCUAACUCUGUG